AUUGAACGCUGGCGGCAGGCCUAACACAUGCAAGUCGAGCGGAUGAAGGGAGCUUGCUCCUGGAUUCAGCGGCGGACGGGUGAGUAAUGCCUAUGAAUCUGCCUGGUAGUGGGGGAUAACGUCCGGAAACGGGCGCUAAUACCGCAUACGUCCUGAGGGCGAAAGUGGGGGGGCUUCGGACGUCUCGCUUUCUGAUGAGGCUAGGUCGGAUUAGCUAGUUGGUGGGGUAGAGGCUUACCAAGGCGGCGAUCCUCAACUGGUCGGAGAGGAAGAUCAAACACCUUGUAAGGGAGACGCGUUCCCGACACCUGCGCGAGGCAGCAGCCGGGAAUAGUGGACAAUGGGCGAAAGCCUGAUCCAGCCCUGCCGCGUGUGUGCAGAAGGUCUUAUGACUGGAAAGCACUUUAAGUUGGAAGGAAGGGCAGUAAGUUAAUACGUUGCUGUAUUGACGUUACCAACAGAAUAAGCACCGGCUAACUCCGUG
rnacentral:rRNA from 1 species